rnacentral:tRNA from 1 species
UUUAAGGUGGUGUAAGCAAACACAUUGGGUUUUCAUUCCAAAAUUGUAAAGUUUUACCCUUAAAA